UACGUAGGUGGCAAGCGUUGUCCGGAAUUAUUGGGCGUAAAGCGCGCGCAGGCGGUCCUUUAAGUCUGAUGUGAAAGCCCACGGCUCAACCUUGGAGUUGCCUUUGAUACUGGCUAUCUUGAGUAUGGGAGAGGUGUGUGGAACUCCGAGUGUAGAGGUGAAAUUCGUAGAUAUUCGGAAGAACACCAGUGGCGAAGGCGACACACUGGCCCAUUACUGACGCUGAGGCUCGAAAGCGUGGGGAGCAAACAGG
rnacentral:rRNA from 1 species